UGUGUGUGUGUGUGUGUGUGUGUGUGUGUGUGUGUGUGUGUGUGUGUGUGUGUGUUUUAGGUUUGGUAUUGGCAGGUUCACCACAGAAGAGGAGGUAGACUACACAGCAGAGAAAUGUAUCCUGCAGGUCUCCAGGCUCAGAGAGAUGAGUCCUCUGUGGGAGAUGGUUCAAGAAGGCAUCGAUCUGAAGAGCAUCAAGUGGACGCAGCACUAGACUCCUCCCACCUCUUGUUUACUUCCCUGGCUGCCAAUGAUGAUGACGACGAUGACAAUUGAUUCCCAGGGAACUCUGGGAAUGGACUAGCUGUUCCUUCCUUUACACAAACACGCACAAACUUCCUGUCCGACUUGAAGUCUGUUUGUAGCUGCAGCUCUGUGUCUCCGUAGAAGCUCCUCUUGUAGCUCUGUCAGGAGAUUUAUUUCAGAGUUCAGAGAUUUGACCAGCACAUGGCAACCGUUGCUUGUUGAAUGUCGUUCUGUGACACCUAGGUCCUGUAUCACAAAGUCAGUUCAUCUUAGUCUGGCUCCCUUUCAGGUUACCCGGCUUCACUUUCAGCUAUCUCUUGGUUUACUAAUCCAGCUCUGAGCAUGUUCACCAGAAAUGGUGAACAAUCAUGUUCUUCAUGGAGCUGAUGACGUCACAUGUAACGUCAUCAGCUCCAUGAAUAACAUGAUAUGACAACUAGAUGAAACUGUGGGCAAAUUAUAUUACUGAGGUGGAAAAAAAGAAGAGAUUUACAUCGAGGUGAAAUAUAUUGAGCAUAAUCGCACAACUAGAAUAAAAUAAACUGUUGUAGGAUUAAUGUUUAAAUAUAAAAGAAAGGUUAAGUCUGUAAAUAAGUGUGGGGAGUCUGCUGAUCUAUAAAAAAGUCUCUACUGCUCCUUAUUUCUUGUCACUUUAUUGUAAACUCAGGACCUUUGUCCCUGUCAGGAACCAGUAGUAAUUAUAACUUCAGUUUUUCAGUAGUCUGAUUGGUCAGAAUUUUGCUUCGUGAUAUAGCCUCUUGUCAACAUGUUGAGCAGAAACCAAACUGUGUUGCGUUACUUUAGCGUCGCUAGGGGCUGCAACUGUAGGCAGUUACUAACCUGUCUUAAUAUGUAGUAAUUCCCAGUCCAAACUUUUUCAUUUUAUGAUUCACAGAUUGUUUCCUGCUUUGUUCACAUGGCGACACUCACUGCCCUCCCUGUCUCACAACCCAGUCUUGUAGUUUUGCUUUCUCCUCUCCCAUCAGUUUUUCAGUUUUCAAUAAACAGCAGCAUCAUGUCAGUUUAUCAGCAGUGUUGGCAGCUGCAGUUUGGUUAUUCACUUAAAGUCUGGGACACUCUACAAGACUGUAGCCUUUGACCACAAUGGCUGACUUUCAAAAAGGUGGAGAGUAAAAACCGCUCAGGUCCAGGUUGUUGAUGGGAAUCUGAACGUGAUCCUCAAAGUCUGAACACAAAAAUCAGAAGAAUUUGUAUUGUGUUCCUGGAUGUUCCUGUCACAUCUAUUAGACUCCCUCGACUGUCUUCUACUGUUACUCUCAUAUACAUUAUUAUGCAAUAAAGUGCUGCUUCAAUACA